CCCCACUGGCCUGUUGGGAGGCAUAAGUAGACUCAUAGCAUGCUAGGUCCUCCCUUUUCAUUAUCUUCCUAGGAAAACAGUUACCCAUAGGAGCCCAGAACCUUGCCUAGAGUCACCCUGCCAGCAAGUGGCAGAGCUGCGAUUUGAAUCUGGGGCUUAUGCAUCUGAUUCUGCUGAGGAUGUCAAAUUACCAGGCUUUGGUCUAAGCAGAAGUCAGGGGACAGCAGUGAAAAGAGCACGGUUCCACACCUUGAUGCCGUCUCUCACUUUCCCUCUGUGUGACCUUGGAGAAGACACAGACACCUCCAGGAGAAGUAAAGCCGGGCCUAAUCGGAUUCCCAGGAAGAUGCAAAUGGCGAUGACUGUGUCUUGGCUGCGUUCAGCUUCAAAGAAGAAGAGGGAAGAACCGUUGGCAUACCAAGCACUGGAAGGGUGGCGGCAAGGGGCACCGGGAAUGGCUGUGGUUACCAGUGAUGCAAACAGACCUCCCACUUCCCCACUUCUUCCUGAAAGUGGAGGAGGGGAGGGAGGCAGUUGAGUGAAAAGAGCUCCCAGGCCCCGCUGCUAGGUUCUUCUGCAGAAAGAUUAGUACCCCUAGGUGCAAGUGGGAUACAGAGUGGUUCUUCCCUGAGCCAUUGGAAUCUGUGCCCUCCUCUUAGAUUCCAGAAUGGCCUCGGACAUAGAUACUGCUCUCUGCUGCCAGUUUCCUUCCAGGCAGCUAGAGCUGGAAAGAUCUUCAUCCUAGCUGCCUGCCAAGGCCGGGAGGCCCGCUCCACGCUCCCUCGGAGGCAUCUCGCCCUCUGGGAGGUCGCCAGGCAGACAGCUUUGGAAAACUGGGAGCUUGGAAAAAAGUCAUUUGAAUUUUAUAAAGUGGUAACUACUGUGGGGCUUUAUGUAAUAAAACCUAAAUGCCAUUUUCCUCCUAAAGCUCUCGGGUGAGGUAACAGUUCUCUUUAAUGUCAGCUCAGGAAGUUUUACCCAAGAAAAAGGAGGUGGAGGGGUGGUGUUUGCCAAAUCAGGAAAUGUGCCUUAACUGACUAGGAACUUAAAAAAGAGGCUGAGGCAAUGAGAGGAAGGGAAGUGGGAGACAGCAAAAGGUAGUCCUGCAAAUGAGUAAACUUGGGACACACAGGCCAAUUUUUAUUUCAAGUCAAUUUUGUUGGUUGAAACUUCCUUUUUAUGGUCUGUUGUUUUGAAAAACUUGGAGUGAAAGAAAAUCUCAAACUUAAUACAGUCUUCAUGAAAAAAAAGCACCUAAGGUAUUAACAGGGAUUCCAGCGUCUGUAAUGUAAACAUUCACCUUAGGCAUGGAAACUCUUGCUUGAGAGUUGCAGAGUUCCCUGUUUCACACCACAAAUCUAACCACAGCUUUCUGCGCAAUGUAUGGUUUUAAACAAUGAGUACAUUAUGCAGAUCCAAUAGGACUUUCCUCCAUCCCAUCACCCCCUUCCUGGUGUUAGACCUACCUCAUGGUUUCAAAUAUGGUUGGUGCACCCCAAGGACAGAGAAAAGUAAGCCCUAUUUUUAAGCAGGUGUUCAAGAACCAGGAAGAAUGAAUCACUUUGGAAAAAAUGAAGACAAAAUGCAAGUUCAUCUGCAACCAAAUCUGUAGUUUUGUUUUUUAUUUAUUUUUUAUUUAUUUUAUUUAUUGUAGAGAUAGACAGGGUCUUGCUCUGUCACCCAGGCUGGAGUGAAGUGGCAUGAUCACAGCUCAUUGCAGCCUUGAACUUCUGGUCUCAAGUGAUCCUCCCACUUCAGCCUCCCAAGUAGCUGGGACUACAGGCAUGUGUCACCACACCUGACUAAUUAAAAAAAAAUUUUUUUUGUACAGAUGGAGUCUCACUACAUUGCCCAGGCUGGUCUCCAACUCCCAGCCUAAAGUGAUCCUCUUGCCUUGAUCUCCCAAAUGUUGGGCUUAUGGGUGUGAGCCACAAUGCCCGGCCUGUAGUGAGUUUUAGAAAAUAAAAAUGACGUCUUCAUUUUUUCUUUCUUGCAAAUAUCUCAGUUUUAUCUAGAAGAUCUUUUUCUUUCCUGCAUAUAUCUAGGUUUUAUCUAGACCUUUGACUUCUGUCAAAGGUGUGAAAUUUAAACCUUUGGAAUUUUAUCCAAAGCAUUUUUGCCCUAAAAGCUUUUUUCCCUAUUGAUUCUUAUACCUAAUAUUCCCAACCCAGUCCUGGUUAAGGCUGCCCUAGUCAGGAGACAUUUUUAAGAGACAAAGCAAGUGACCCAAGGCACUGGCCCUACAGAAAUCUGGAAGCUGGUACAAGCAUGUAUGCACCCAUGUGCCUAUAUACCUGUGCCCACUGUGCACAUGUUCAAGCACGCACGUGUCUCUGUAUGUGGUUGCUCACACGUGUGCAUGCACGUGUGUGUGUGGCAGUGACACUGUGCAGAAUGAAUGAAAGGACAUCAUAGUUUGUAUGUUGAAGACUCAUGGGUCUUUCAAAGUUGAUAAAUCUGGCUUUCACAUAGAAGGCGAGGUCUUAGAUGAAGAUAAAGGAAUUCAGGAAAUAUCAUCCCCAAAAUGACACUUUGGUAUGCUGAUUACUUUGAACUGAGGACACCUGGGACAUAGCAUAUGCAGGCAGAGGCUUUCUCAGAACUCCCUAUCUGCCUACUGAUGGAUCCUCUAAAAAGAACUCAGUUGUCAUGAAUCCCCUCCUGGGGAAUUUCAUCAAGCAGAGAAGAUUAACUGGGAUCACAGGAGAGGAGACUGGAGUUCGACACCAUAGCCAGACAGACUUUGCCACAGGCUGUCACCUAUUCUUCUGAGGUCCUGUUCAUCUUUCCCCCAAAUCAAUCUCUCCUGAGUUACCUACAUCUCCCCUCCCCUCUCCUUUAUGAAGAGGGAAUAUAAGACUCUAGAUCCACCAGGUUUUGAGGUACAGUAGUCCCCUCCUUAUCUAUGGGUGAUAAGUCUCAAGCCCUCCAGUGGAUGCCUGAAAUCAAAGAUGGCACCAAACCUUAUAGUCUGAUGUUUCCUAUACAUGCAUACCUAUGAUAAAGUUUAAUUUAUAAAUUAGGCUGGGCAAGGUGGCAUGCAUCUGUAGUUCCAGCUACUUGGGAGGCUGGGCCAGGAGGAGAGCUUGAGCCUGGGAGUUUGAGACCAGCCUGGGAAACAUAGUGAGACCCCAUCUCUAAAGCAAAUUUAAAAAAUAAAUUAGGCACAGAAAGAGAUUUAACAAUAAUUAAUAACAAAAUAGAAUAAUUAGAAUAAUAUACUGUAUAAAAGUUGUAUGAAUAUGGUUUUUUUCUCCUCAAAAUGUCUUAUUGUACUGUACUCACCUAUUUUCGAACCAUGGUUGACCGUGGGUGACUGAGACAGAGGAAAGCAAAACUGUGGAUAAGGGUGGGGGGGAGGCGGAUUUUAUUCAUGUUUCUUUCAUGUGACACCCCUGUGCAUGUAAUAAAUUUGUAUAUCUUGUCUCUUGUCAAGCUGUCUACUGUCAGUUUACAUCAUAGACUCAAUUAUCAAACCUUCAGAGGGUAGAGGGAAAGUUCUCCCUCCCCUUCCAAAAAACCCUCCAUGCUAACUGGACCUGGGUAGAUCAAGGGGGAUGAAGUACACCUAGGAAGGACUACAUGGAUGGUUUUCAAGCUCUAGUGCCUGCGAUACUUAAUAAAAACUUUUGGAGGUUCCCAACCCCAAAGAUUCUGAGUCAGUUGUCCAGGGUGGAGACAGGAGUUGGCAUUGUAACCAGUGUACUACCGAUUUCUCCUUCCUUCCUUCCUUCCUUCCUCCCUCCUUUCAUCUUUCUUUCCUUUUCUUUUCUUUCUUUCUUUCUUUCUUCUUUCUUUCUUUCUUUCUUUCUUUCUUUCUUUCUUUCUUUCUUUCUUUCUUUCUUUCUUUCUUUCUUUCUUUCUUUCUUUCUCUUGCUCUCUCCCUCCCUCCCCUCCCCUCUCCUCCCCUCCCCUCCUCCCCUCCCCUUCCCUUCCCUUUCCUUUCCGACAAAAUCUUGCUCUGUUGCCCAGGCUGGAGAGCAGUGGUACGAUUUCUUGGCUCACUGCAACCUCUGCCUCCCUGGUCAAGCGAUUCUCUUGCCUCAGCCUCCCAAGUAGCUGGAAUUACAGGUGACUGCCACCACACCUGGGUAAGCUUUGUAUUGUUAGUAGAGGUGAGGUUUUGCCAUGUUGCCCGGACUGGUCUUGAACUCCUUACCUCAGGUGAUCCGCCUGCCUCAGCCUCCCAAAGUGCUGAGAUUACAGGUCUGAGCCGCCGUGCCUGGCCCCAUACCAGCAAUUUCCCAUGGCGAGGAACACCAGUUUACCCUAUAAGCCAGAUUCUUCCACAAUGUUUCAUUAACUCUUUCCUAAGUGUGUUGCUUUUUACUGAGGCCUGGGUCCUUUCUAAAAAUAAAUGCUAGUUUGGCCUCAAAGUAAUUUGGGUUGCCAGUUUUGACUCUUUUCUCUGUCAUUCUACCCCUCUCCCUCCCCCUUCACUCCCUUCCCUCAAAUUAUUCUGCCCAUACCCGCUCACCGCUUCCUCCUUUUCCUUAGUUUUAGUUCAAGAAGCCAUUUAAUGAGCUUCCACUAAAGCUUAAAGGGCUGAGGCUGUAAGAAUGAAUUGAGACAGAGUCCCUGUCUUUGAGCAGGUGAAGUCCGGUGGGGGAGGCAGGUAGAUAAAACAGAUCAUUUCAGCAGGGAGAGCCACACAUUAAAAUAACCAAGGUGACGCCUGGCGAGGUGGCUCACACCUUUAAUCCCAGCACUUUGGGAGGCCGAGGCUGGCCGAUCAUUUGAGGUCAGGAGAUCGAGACCAGCCUGGCCAACAUGGUGAAACCCUGUCUCUACUAAAAAUACAAAAAUUAGUUGGGCAUGGUGGUGCAUGCCUGUAAUAUCAGCUACUCGGGAGGCUGAGGCAGGAGAAUCACUUGAACCCAGGAGGCAGAGGUUGCAGUGAGCCUAGAUCCCGCCACUGUAUUCUAGCCUGGACGAUGGAGCGAGACCCUGUGUCAAAAAAAUAAAUAAAUAAAUAAAUAAAUAAAUAAUAAAAAAUAAAUUAAAUAAAUAAAUAAAUAAAAUAAAAUAAUAGCCAAGGAGAGGGCCUGGGCAGCAGCUGCCUGAAUGAGUGAUGGGCUCAGAGGGAAGGGAAUUGGAGAAAGUGCUUUCAACAGCACUGUUUUCCAGCUAGCUGAAGUGGGGCUCAGUGACCAAUCUCAGUUCCAAUCCCCACCAAACUAAAGCACAUGCAUUUGCCAGUUGCCAGUGUAUCAGGAGAACAGCCAAAGAAGCCGAAUAUUAGAGAAAAAGAGCAAAAUUAAUUCAAAGUGUUCAUUAUGAAAUCAUAGAGUAUUCCAAAUAUCCAGGGAGUAAACAUACAUUUAUCAAGUUAACAUAUGAAAUUUGUUCUAACAGAUUUUCUAAAUUUAGAUUUUUGUUUUGCCUAAUUUCAUAGAAAGGGCAUCACUCAGUGAAUGAUGAAGUGGACUUGGGGGAUGAAUAUUCACCUGAACCCCUUCCUCCCGCCUCUGCUGCAGCUGCCCCUCCCCCCUCAGCCAGGCUUGACCUUAGACAAGGCAGUUUCUAUUUUUUAGUUUCCAAGUUGUGAGAGAGGAAAAAAAAAAAGGUUUGCUUCCAGCUGUUUGACAAUGAUGCUGAGAAGAUUUAUGCACACAUUCUGGUGAAAUCACCUGAGUUGGCUGAAGGAGCAAAUAAUGCGUGUGCUUUUAUUGAAGAGAAAAGGGAAGCAGAAGAUGCACAUUUCAUUUCACUGUACUCCUGGCUGGCUAAUUAGAAAGCAGGUUCAUUAAGGGUUGGGCCUGAAGAAAAAGCCCAAAGCCUGAAAAGAGACCAAAGAGAAUGACAUCAUUUCCCCUGUAUCUUCCCUAAGGGCAUCCUGGUAUUGGAGAGAAGGACUCAGGCCCCAGAAAUGAAGCAAAAACAGCCCAAUUUCCAAUACUGAUUACUUUGGACCAGAACCGUACACAGAAAAAGAGGACACUUGGUUUUUGUUGUUUGUUUUUUGUUUUUUUUGAAAAAAAAUAAAGGAAUGAGGCAAACAAAGAACAUGGUUUUCUGACUUGGUUGAAUAUAAAGCAAAGAGGGAAGUUUAAGCUAAAUCGUAACAUGGGGUGUCCUUUUUCUUCUUCCCUUCAUAUAGAAAUCAAAACAACUUACAGAUCCUACACGACUAAUUGUUAGGAAAUUUAGAUUUGCUAAAAUUUUUGAAAUAGAAGUAUUGGUUUAAAAGCUUAUACCUUAAAAAAAAUCAUUUUUAUUUUUAUAGUAAUACUAGAUGUAAUUGGGCAGAUAAAUUAAGUUGGAAUAUCUUUUUUUUUAUGACUUCGGCACAUAGCUGUUACUCUUAUAUUGAAAUUGUGGGUCGGGUGCCGUGGCUCACGCCUGUAAUC
rnacentral:lncRNA from 1 species